GACGAACGCUGGCGGCGUGCUUAACACAUGCAAGUCGAACGGAAAGGCCCUGCUUUUGUGGGGUGCUCGAGUGGCGAACGGGUGAGUAACACGUGAGUAACCUGCCCUUGACUUUGGGAUAACUUCAGGAAACUGGGGCUAAUACCGGAUAGGAGCUCCUGUUGCAUGGUGGGGGUUGGAAAGUUUCGGCGGUUGGGGAUGGACUCGCGGCUUAUCAGCUUGUUGGUGGGGGAGUGGCUUACCAAGGCUUUGACGGGUAGCCGGCCUGAGAGGGUGACCGGCCACAUUGGGACUGAGAUACGGCCCAGACUCCUACGGGAGGCAGCAGUGGGGAAUAUGGCACAAUGGGCGGAAGCCUGAUGCAGCAACGCCGCGUGCGGGAUGACGGCCUUCGGGUUGUAAACCGCUUUCGCCUGUGACGAAGCGUGAGUGACGGUAAUGGGUAAAGAAGCACCGGCGAACUACGU
rnacentral:rRNA from 1 species